CUGGGCAAGGGACCACAGCCUGGUGACCAUAGGACAUUCCCAGCAGAUGAGGCAGCCUCCAUUCGCACGCAACAUGGAUUCUCAUCCCCAUAUGUCUGAGAGAUAAGUCGAGGGCUAAGGCCCACAGAGGGGACGAAAGUGAGGUGGUGGGAGGGUCUUUUGAAUCAGCUCUGGGGGCGGGGAUGUGCAGGAAGUGUCCCUUUAGGCCACCUAAAGGGAAAAUGUUUCUUUUGAUCACAGUGCUGAGUUGUGCAGGGCAGAGCAGUUCUGGUGUGUGUCCUGUCACUUGUCUCUGGUGCACUCUGUGUUCUUUGGGUCUCUGAGUCCUUUCUUCUUGUCGAAAACUCUUGCUCCCUGUUCUGUCCUCUCGAUUGUCAUGUCCUGUCCUGUGUCACGGGUGUCUGCACAUAUUUGUCCCGGAGCUGCUGUGUCCUGCUGCAUAGCCUGUAAUAGCACAAGUCCUGGGGACUUGAAAUUUGUAAUGCAGGGUGUAGUUGGGCUUUAGCUUGUAUUCGUUGAUUGUCAUAGCAUUUUUGGUGCUGUUAAGUUGUCCUGCAGCCGUUUUACACUAGUCUGAAGUUCCUUUCAGAUGCAGACAGUUCAAAUCAGUUGCAGAGAGACCUAGUCCUGGGUGAGGGUGUUGCCAUGCGCAGGUCAGUCAUUGUUUGCAUUUGCAGGGGAAGCCUAAAUGGUGACUUUGUUACAGCAGUCUUUAUUCUUAGGAGGUCCAGGCAGAUAGCAGCAGUCAAGGCCCAUUGUCCAAGGGGAGCAGUGGACAGAAGCAGUUGUUUUUACUCAGCUUUCAGUUUCUGGUGCAAUUCUAAGCAUCCUUUCUCAUUUUUGUGCUUUAGGGAAUCUACUCGGAGUACUCAUACCUCCAUCACCAACUGGACAACGGACCGGUGCCAGGAGCGUGGCUUCUCGUUUUCCAGCCUUCCUUGCUGUGGCGGUUUUGAGGAACUUACUGGAUGGUUUUCUUUUGUUCAUAGUUGGUGUAGGAGAACGGCCAUGGUGUGCUUUUUGCUUCUUACGGUUCUUGGUUCAGCUGUCUCGGCUGUCACACCUGUCCUGAGGAAAGCCCUGUGGAAGGAGCUCGGUGCCACGAUUCAGGACCCUGAAGCCACUGUGAAACUGCAAAUUCUUUCCAAGCUGUUGCCACCUCCGGGAAGCAAAGGGCUGCACAACCUGAUGGACUGCCUUCCUGCUGCUCCGGAGAGAGCAGGCAAUGAAGAGAGCUGGGCCGUGGCAGAUGCCAUAUCCACGGUGCUUAAAAACUCAGAGGAGCUGCAUUCCUGGAGGAGACAUCUCUUCUCAGCCUGCAUAAAGGGGUUAGUUGCCAUGUACAGCAGCAGUAAAGAUGAAGGCAAGCAAGAAGUGGAGAGGUCCAUGCUGCUGAGGCUAGAGGAAUUAUUGUGUGUGGUUGAAGAAGUGGACCCAGAUGACUGGUGUGACCUUGUGAAGACAGGGCUCAAGUACCGUUACAGAGAUGAAACAUUUCUGAAGGUCCUGAACGUUGCCAUCCAGUUACUAUACAUGAAAGAAUCCUCACUUAGAGCGUAGUCAAGCUCUCCAAACUACACAUGGUGGUCACACAGCACUCUCUAUUUUUGGCAGCCAUCCUGAGGUCAAGAGAAGAAGAUGGCAUGAGCGUCCAGA
rnacentral:lncRNA from 1 species